rnacentral:rRNA from 1 species
CGUAGGGUGCAAGGGUUGUCCGGAAUUAUUGGGCGUAAAGAGCUCGUAGGCGGUCUGUCGCGUCUGCUGUGAAAACCCGAGGCUCAACCUCGGGCCUGCAGUGGGUACGGGCAGACUAGAGUGCGGUAGGGGAGAAUGGAACUCCUGGUGUAGCGGUGGAAUGCGCAGAUAUCAGGAAGAACACCGAUGGCGAAGGCAGUUCUCUGGGCCGUAACUGACGCUGAGGAGCGAAAGCGUGGGGAGCGAACAGG